CACAUAGGAUGGCCAAUGUCAGACACAGACGACAGGACAGACACCCAGUGUAGGUCCCUGUUACUCACCAAAGUGAAUUAUUUUUAAAGUGAAUGUAAUUGAAGCAGCAUUGAUGCGUCGUGCUGCUUUGAAGACAAACAGUGUACCGCUAUGUUCACAUUACACCAUACCCUUGUAUGCAAAAUGUGUUUGUGGUAUUCUGUUGGUCUGCAGUGACCGCACCAUCCCCAAGUCCAGGCUGAUUACCUGGGACCCCUCUGAGGACUUUGUGAAGACCAGCCACAUGGUCAACACACCUGUACAGACCAUACACAUCAUGGGGAACCUGGGACCAGCGGGCAAACUUGGCCAAAAGGAGAAGGAAUGCUUGUUGUGCACGAUAAGAGCAGAUGGAAAUGGAGUGGUUACCAUCAAACCAGACUUCAACAAAGGCAAGGUUGAGACGGAGGGGGAGAAGAGGGAGGUGUGGCGUCAGACCAGAGGAGACGGAACAGCAACAGUGCAUAUAUAGACCGUUAUGUACGUCAUAAAGACUACCUCAACAGCUUGGUUGGCCAGGACUGAAAUGGCAAGCCUGGGAAAGAACUGAGAAAACGUACUAAAGAGUCAAGACAGACACCAGAAAGAGGCCCAAGAAGACUUGGAUGCAGGAACAGAGGACAGCGAGGGAUGUUCAGAACUCACUCAGUCCGGUUUGGAGAAUGACUUCUCAACCCAAGACUAAGAGCAGCUGUAAGAAAGCAUCAGUUUGGAAGCAUUUGGGAAAAUGUAAAGUGCUAAAGAAGGUUCCCGGCAAAGAGGAUUGACUGUUAUGGGUCAGAGCCAGCUCUCACAAACAGCACAUGGAAAGACAUGAAAACCUGGUGCACAACAAAAUGCAAAGAGAAAAGGCUCUCCGCAGCCGGUAAAAGGCUAGCAUGCCACGAAGAUGAAGUUCACACAGCGUUAUGUACGUCAUAAAGACUACCUCAACAGCUUGGUUGGCCAGGACUGAAAUGAUGUCAGCAAUCAAUCAACAAGACUAAUGAAAUGGGGCAAAUGAAGACAUUAGAACUGCUAAAGAUCCAGAUCUAGGAUCAGCUUCCCCUCCCCAAACCUAACAAGGACCAUUCGCGGGGGGAAUUCAAACCUGAUUCAAAGCCAGGGUCUAUUUGGGGAACUUGUCCCCUCCCCCACAACACUACAUGUGGAUGCGGCUUCCUCAGUUCACCAUGCUCAUAAAGAAAACAGCAGUGUAUUUCAGCUGCAAGCCUGGGAAAGAACUGAGAAAACGUACUAAAGAGUCAAGACAGACACCAGAAAGAGGCCCAAGAAGACUUGGAUGCAGGAACAGAGGACAGCGAGGGAUGUUCAGAACUCACUCAGUCCGGUUUGGAGAAUGACUUCUCAACCCAAGACUAAGAGCAGCUGUAAGAAAGCAUCAGUUUGGAAGCAUUUGGGAAAAUGUAAAGUGCUAAAGAAGGUUCCCGGCAAAGAGGAUUGACUGUUAUGGGUCAGAGCCAGCUCUCACAAACAGCACAUGGAAAGACAUGAAAACCUGGUGCACAACAAAAUGCAAAGAGAAAAGGCUCUCCGCAGCCGGUAAAAGGCUAGCAUGCCACGAAGAUGAAGUUCACACAGGUGAAUGGGAGAGUUGUAAAAGACAAAAAGCUUUUUAGACAUAGCUCCAAAAUGCAGGUGCUAGUUGAGCUCGUGAGCUAGUUCUGUUUUGUGGUGGAAAACUUAGUGUGUCGAGCAUAAUAUGUCAACCCUGUUACCAAUAGAUAAGGCUAGACAUUUUUUAGCAAUUUCAUUUUUUUGUCUGAAACGUCCAAUUCAAAAGCUUCCAUUCCCCUUGUCACAAGGGAUUUAUGCAUGAUUUAAUAUGAAACCCUGCCUCCCGAGUGGCGCAGUGGUCUUAGGCGCUGCAUCGCAGUUGCUAGCUGUGCCGCUAUAGAUCCUGGUUCGAGUCCAGGAGACCCAUGGGUUGGCGCACAAUUGUCCCAGCGUCGUCCUGGUUAGGGGAGGGUUUGUCUGGCAGGGAUGUCCUUGUCCCAUUGCGCUCUAGCAACUCCUGUGGCGGGCCGGGCGCAUGCAUGCUGAAACGGUCGCCAGACGAAGGCUAGCAUG